GAACGCACCUUGCGCUCCUUGGUAUUCCUUGGAGCAUGCCUGUUUGAGUAUCGUGAAAUCUUCAAAGUAAAUCUUUUGUUCACUCAAUUGAUUCUACAUUGGUAAUGGAGGUUUACUGCAGCUUCACAUCUGCUCCUCUUUGUGCAUUAGCUGGAUUCUCAGUGUUAUGCUUGGUUCCACUCAGCGUGAUAAGUUAAUUAAUUCGCUGAGGACACUCUAUAACCAAAGGGGUGGCCAAGGUAAAUACAGAUGAACCCGCUUCUAAUAGUCCAUUGAUUUGGACAAAAUAAAUAAAUAAAUAAAUAUUAUGAUCUGAUCUCAAAUCAGGUAGGGCUACCCGCUGAACUUAAG
rnacentral:misc_RNA from 1 species